UACGUAGGGUCCGAGCGUUGUCCGGAAUUACUGGGCGUAAAGCGUGCGCAGGCGGCUUUCCAAGCGCCACGUGAAAGCCCCGGGCUCAACCCGGGAGGGUCGUGGCGAACUGGGAGGCUUGAGGCCGGUAGAGGUGGGUGGAACUCCUGGUGGAGUGGUGAAAUGCGUAGAGAUCAGGAAGAACACCAAAGGCGAAGGCAGUGUCCUGGGGAGUACCUGACGCUCAGGUGCGAAAGCCAGGGGAGCGAACGGG
rnacentral:rRNA from 1 species